rnacentral:sRNA from 1 species
GCCAGGCGUGGUGGCGCAUGCCGGUAAUCCCAGCUACUUGGAGGCUGAGGCAGGAAAAUCGCUUGAACCCAGGAGGCGGAGGUUGCAGUGAGCCGAGACCGUGCCACUGUGCUCCAGCCUGGCAACAGAGCGAGACUCUGUCCCCAACCCCCCCAAAAAAGAAAAAGAAAAACAGAAAAAGUUUUAUAAGUUUUUUUUUUUUUUUUUUUUUGAGACAGUCUCGCUCUGUUGCCCAGGCUGGAGUGCAGUGGUGCAAUCUCGGCUCACUGCACCACCUCCCAGGUUCAAACAAUUCUCCUGCCUCA